GUAACGACUGCUGGUGCAAUGUUGUGACAAGAAGGGCUGGAGGUACAGCAGGGUUUCAAAAGAAUAAGCCUCCCAGAAAGACUUCACACUUCCUGAAAACUGCAAUAUUUUAAUAACCUGCCUGCCUGCCUAGACUCCAUGUCAACUCAAGACUGCCUGCCAAACCAGACAACACCCCUAUAUUCAACUCUCAAUGGAUUGCACACCCUACUUUGCUCCACAGAUUUAACACACUGGAAGAACAACGCCUGUUCCGGUGGGCAAUUUGAAACCAGAGCAGUAAUUUGCCACCGUGGAUGGAUUAAUCUUCAAUGACCAACCACAUCAUUAGUAUCACUUGUAAUUUGGCUUAUUGUAUAAUUAGAUAAUUACACAGUAUAUCAAGACAAAUAAACAUUCUCUUUGCAUUUGUUAUGCAUGAAGUGCAUUUCAUUUUAGCCAAGUAAGCCAUAUAAUUGGAGAUCAGAAAGGUUGAAUACUAUUAGGGACUCAUUUGUUUGGUUCAUUUGUUGGAUAAAAAUAAUUAUAUAUAAUGAUGUAUGUAACAUAAGGUCAUGUCAUUUUAAAUAUAAUCCAGUAUAUAAUUUUAAAAGUUAUAAAGUAACAGUUCUUAUCAGUGACGCAACAGCAGAGAGGUAUUGCUUAGCUCUGUCAUAUUCUGCAGAGAGAGAAAACAUUAUUCUGUUCUCACACCACUGAUAUGAUAAUCAAUUCCACACAUUGUGGGCUGCUUUUCAUGUGCUAAAGGUACUUGUAUCUGCAAAUGCACAGCCACCAUGUUCGUUUCUUUCCUCAGAUGAUGACAACUCCAGAUAACAGCUCAUACAAUUUUAUUUACAUGGAAAAAUUACAUUUUUUGUGAUUAUUUUCUACUGCACACACCUAAUAUCUGUGCCAUAACUAUAAAUGUCUUUAAUUUACAGUCUAGUGCUGGGAAGGCAGUAAAAGGAGUGCAUUAGAAGUACCAUGUAUGUAUCAUACAAGAUGCAAAUUGAUACAUCUCGCCCUGUUUCCUAGGUUAUGUUUUUCUUUGUUUUUCAUAUUUUCAUCAUUUCCUGUUUUCCUGUCACUCACCUCUCCUCUCGUUUCAGAUCACUCCCUGCCCUUGUGUGUUUCCUGCCAGUUCUGACUGUCCUUAGUUGCACCUGUGUCCUGUUAACCCCAUGCACCACAGUAUUAGGUCGGUGUGUGCCCUCACUCUGUGCCACUUUGUCGUAGUACUUUCAGUCUCACGUUCCAGCCUUUACUCCUAGUGUUUUGUGUUUCUUGGUGUUGCCUGUGUACCUGACUUUGCUUCUCCCUACUUGCUGCAUUUGUUUGCUUGUGCUGAUUGACUGCCUGUGUACCGAACUAGACACAGCUUUUUUGUAAGUCACGAGUCAAAAAGUUUGGGAAGCACUGGUUAAAUCUAUAACAACUUUAUAAGUGUUUUCUGUGUUUCUUAUGUAUUUCUUAUGUUCGUCUGAAAAAUUACUAGUAACUAAAUAAAAGUAGAGGAGUAAAAAAAAACAAUAUUUGAAAUGUAGUGUGAGUAUGAAGUACCAUAAAGUGGAUACCCAAAUCUACCUUCCACCACUGCCUACAGGCAAUGUGUUUUCAAAUUAACUAUAAAAUGAGACAAACAAAAAUGUCAAGGUGAUUAUAGGACAUAUAAAACUUACUUAUCUUCAUGCUGUGUGUGCAAAGUUCUGUAGAAGCGUCUGAUAAGUAACUAACACACAACAAAGGUGUUAAUUUAUCUCAGAGAGUGUAAAAUUAUUCACUGUGCCAGAGGUUCCAUAAUUCCACACCCAUCACAGUUCAUUUUUAAGACUUUCAGAUAGUUUUGAACAGCCGCCCCAGGGCCACAUCCACUCUGUGAGCCAACAAACAACACCAACAACAAAUAACUGGCACUGAAAAAUCAACCAUUGGGAGAUUUGCUAUACAGGAUGUUGCUGCAAAUGGACAGUUCCUCUCACAAAUCAGUUUGAGAAAUGUGUUCAUUCCUGACACACAGGACAAAUCAGAUUAUAGCUUGCUGUAUCGUACUCUCUCUGUUGGAUAUCUGUGUAGAAAAAAAGAUAUUGGUGAACUAAUUUUUCUGGGGCUAUACUUGUUUUAUAGUAUGGCACCCUCAGUGCACAAACAUUUUCAUCUUUCAUAGUAUUGUGCUCUGUGAUCAACCCUGUCUCCUAGACAUCGUGUUUAUACAUUACUAAUUUGCCACAGCAAAACAAAUAAUAUGAGAAUGCAUUUAAUUUGUUUUCCUACAAUUUCAAGAUUCAAGAUUACUUUAUUUGUCCCUAGGGAAAUUUGUCUUGGACAUGAAGGCUGCCACAUAAAAAUACAUACAAUUAUAGUGCAGUAACAGACAUAAAGUUAAUAGUGCAGUAAAAGACAUAAAGUGCAUUGCAGAGACAAGUGCAGACAUAAGUGCUUCAUUUCACACCCUCCUUAUGUCCUGAGUUUAGGAGAUUCACUGAUAGAGGGAUGAAAGAGUUUUUAUACCUAUUCAGGUAUCUUUUCCUGCAUAUAAUUGGAACUAGAGCCCUGCACAGGCCACAAAGUCGGCAAUUUUUUAGCCCGAGCCCAGCCCGUGACCAAUACCAAUAUGUCUUUAAGCUUUCUGAUACAUGCAAAAAAACACACACACACUACAAAGAGAUACAUUUAUAAUAGGCCUCAAACAUAACUACCAGUGCCACUGAAAAUCAUGCCCACAAAUAUUAAAUACCGACUGUCCAUUACAGAGAAGCAUAAGCAUGCAGUAGAGAAUAAUGCUCUACACGUAUAAGGGCACAAUGAAAGGAGAGAAGUUAAAUGAGCCCGAGUCCGACCCCAAUCCAUUCUAUAAAAAAAUGUGUCCCUGUUUGGUUUGUUCACGUACACACGCACGAGCUUGCACAUGCAUGUGCACGAGCAUGCGGGUGACGCUAUACACAAUCCUGCCAAUGGUUUCACACCAUUCCACUGAUCUACUGGUGGUGGUAAUACACCAAGCAAUGCAUAAAUGUGUCAGCAAAUGUAAAAAACAAGAAGACUGCUAGCAAGUAAACAUGGAUUUUAACAAUGCAGGUUUCAAAAUGAUCACAAAAUUAGCUUUGCAAAUGUUUUAUGAGGAAGAAAAUGCAUUCAACAUGUUUGUUAGACCUCAAGGAUACACACAAUGCACUCUGGUGAGAAACGACAUUUUGUUUAUGAAAAAACUCCACCGUUACGUUGCGCAACUGUUACGUUAAGGAAAGAUCGUCGUCUUGGUUUAUCAUCAAAAAAGUCAACAUUGGCUUGAAGCACGAGACAGUACGUGUUUACUUUAAUAACAUUUAACCGCAAUCUUUUCCUAACUUUAGCCAAAGUGCUUUUGUUGACCAAACAUAACUACAGGAUACGAUGACCUCGGUAUCAAAUUCCUACACUAUGUACUCCCAUCAUCCACCCCAAAUACCUCGCUACAACUUCCUUCCAGUACAAGAUCGUAGCACUAAGUCACCUGGAAAAUUAAUUCUUCCUGAUCACAAGAAAGGCAGCAAUUAUGUUUUCCACAAAACAUGAUUGGCAAAGCACAUUUGUAGAAUGUUAUUUCCAGGGGACAGGGUUUCUGUGUUUGAACCUUGUAUCAGAGCUGCAAUUUCUUUGCAAGAAUUCACAGAAAAAAAAAAGUUUUUGUUGUGAUAAAAGAUGGGACAUACUUUAGGCAUUUGUGCAACUCUCAGCUGGAAAUGUAAUCUUGUUAACAGACCUUGAAAAAUUGCAGUCCAGCAUGGGUUGUUUAGUUGCUGAAACAUUUAUCUAUACUACAAAGGAUUGGACUUGUGUAAGGUUGGUGACCACAGGAUGUUGAUGUAGUAGUUGUGUCCAAAUCUAGCAUGUCAAUAGGCUGUGCUUCAUAAAUCUGUCUGAUUGAUCCUACAUAUGUGGUUCCAUGACCUUGCAUUGUAGCAUGAGACCUGCAUCCAUGUCAUUGUCACCUGAUUUGCUGUUUUAAUUGACAACAAACAAAAUUGACAUACAGUACAUGGGUUUUAGGAAUUAGAGAUCCAUGUGUUUGUUUGCGUGGAUUUUAAGGGUAAAGGCCUCAUGUUAAAUGUUGGUUCAAACUGUUAGAUAAUAAUCAUGAAUAAUAAUCAUCCUGAUAAAUGGAUUGCGUCUGUCCCAAGAUGUAAAAGAUUACUCUACUUGGAUAAAAAGAUUUAAUCCACCUGUUCAGUUCAGUAAUAUCUAAAUAGGAGUUUCAUUCCUCCUCUGAACAGCUUGACACAUAUUGAAAUGGAUCCUACUGGCAGAAAUAAUGUGCAGUUACUUAGCUUUUCAUUUAACCGACGGGAAAAAAAACUCUAGUGCAGCUGAUAACUCAUCUCCCCCCACCCCAAAUUCCUUUCAAAGCAAUUACAAAAAUGACUCUCUCUGCAAAACCGGAAUAUAAGCCAACACUGUAAGACUGAAUAAACAAUCUAAUUUUACAAUCAUUGCCUCUGGAUUACUGAUAAACCCCUCUCUCAUUUAUUAAACCCUAUGAUCAUAUACUGGUAUUACAUACCAAUAAAAUGGGGACAUGAUAACUUUAUUAUUCGGUCUUAACAAGCAAGUUUUCUAUGUGGAUGUUAGAGUACAGAGACUGAAGAAGAUCUGAUACAGUAGAGGCUUUUACCUGAACAUGUUGUAAUGUUUGCAUAACUUUUUCAAUGUACAAAUUUAGUUGCUGUGCUAUUCAGUAGCCGAAGCUCAGCUCAUGCAGUAGAUUGAGGCUGUAAGGAGAGGAUCAGCAAAGUGGAAUGUUGUCCAUAGUGCAGCUCCUCUGAGAAAUCAAUCCCUGCUACUUAUUUGUGAUGGAGAGGCUUUUAAGCAUGCACAGCAUAGUUGUUUGUGCAGUACUGCAGAACUGAGUGUAUUGGCUGAGGUGAUGCAUUAGAUUGUACAUCUUAUUCUUAAAAUAUAGUAGAUACAGUAUGUCUGGACACAGAAAUUAAAUAGUAACUCAUACACAGUGAUAUAAACUCUGCAAACAUAGACUUCACGUCCUAUUAAUUACAUCUGUGGCAUUUAAGUUAAAGGAAUAGUUCUACAAUUUGGGAAAUACUCUUGUUCGAUUUCUUGACCAGAGUUAGAUGAGAAGAUUGAUACCCCUUUGUCUGUACAAUAAUUAUGAUGCUACAGCCAGCAGCCAGUUAGCUUAGUUUAGCAUAAUGACUGGAAACGGGGAAACAGCUAGCCUGGCUCUGUCCAAAGGUAACAAAAUGCACCUACCAGCACCACUAAAGCUCAAUAAUUAACAUGUUAUAUCUCGUUAGUGUGAUUCAUGCAAUAUCUAAAUUGUUAAAACUGAAGCUUCAUAUUUAGUGUACAGACAUGAGUGGUGUCGAGUUUCUCAUCUAACUCUCAGCAAGAAAGCAAAUAAGCUAGUUCCCAAAAUGUCAAACUAUUCCUUGUUAAACACAUAGUUUGGCUUUUAAUUGUUGAACAGUUUGUUGUA